rnacentral:rRNA from 1 species
GCAUAAUAAUUUGUCCUUUAUUUGAGGACUGGAAUGAAAGGCGUUAUGGGGAUAAUCUGUCUUGUGGAAUUUAUUUAAAAUUUAUUUAAAGGGUGCAAAUUCCCUUAAUUUUUUACAUUAGACGAGAAGACCCUUAGAAUUAUAAUUAAAUGUGGAUAAUAUCGCUUUAUUUUUGUUGGGGCAACAUUAACCUUUUAAACGGUUAAACAAAGAUUUUACUAGUAUAUAAUGAUUAGGAAGGAUUCAAUUACCUGAGGGAUAACAGCAAAAUUUAUUUAUAAGAUUAUGACCUCGAUGUUGGAUUAGGGUCUUUUUUUAUUAGAGGUAAAGAAAGAUGGUUCUGUUCGAACUUACUUACCCUACGUGAUCUGAGUUCAGA